rnacentral:rRNA from 1 species
GAUGAACGCUGGCGGCGUGCCUAAUACAUGCAAGUCGAGCGAACAGACGAGGAGCUUGCUCCUCUGACGUUAGCGGCGGACGGGUGAGUAACACGUGGAUAACCUACCUAUAAGACUGGGAUAACUUCGGGAAACCGGAGCUAAUACCGGAUAAUAUAUUGAACCGCAUGGUUCAAUAGUGAAAGACGGUUUUGCUGUCACUUAUAGAUGGAUCCGCGCCGCAUUAGCUAGUUGGUAAGGUAACGGCUUACCAAGGCGACGAUGCGUAGCCGACCUGAGAGGGUGAUCGGCCACACUGGAACUGAGACACGGUCCAGACUCCUACGAGAGGCAGCAGUAGGGAAUCUUCCGCAGUGGGCGAAAGCCUGACGGAGCAACGCCGCGUGAGUGAUGAAGGUCUUCGGAUCGUAAAACUCUGUUAUUAGGGAAGAACAAAUGUGUAAGUAAAUAUGCACGUCUUGACGGUACCUAAUCAGAAAGCCACGGCUAACUACGUG